AGCGAAACAUAACAAAAAGCAGCACGAAUGACAUUAGAAUAUACCU
rnacentral:ribozyme from 1 species